GAUGAACGCUGGCGGCGUGCCUAGUACAUGCAAGUCGAGCGAACAGACGAGGAGCUUGCUCCUUUGACGUUAGCGGCGGACGGGUGAGUAACACGUAGGUAACCUACCUAUAAGACUGGGAUAACUUCGGGAAACCGGAGCUAAUACCGGAUAAUAUUUCGAACCGCAUGGUUCGAUAGUGAAAGAUGGCUUUGCUAUCACUUAUAGAUGGACCUGCGCCGUAUUAGCUAGUUGGUAAGGUAACGGCUUACCAAGGCAACGAUACGUAGCCGACCUGAGAGGGUGAUCGGCCACACUGGAACUGAGACACGGUCCAGACUCCUACGGGAGGCAGCAGUAGGGAAUCUUCCGCAAUGGGCGAAAGCCUGACGGAGCAACGCCGCGUGAGUGAUGAAGGUCUUCGGAUCGUAAAACUCUGUUAUUAGGGAAGAACAAACGUGUAAGUAACUGUGCACGUCUUGACGGUACCUAAUCAGAAAGCCACGGCUAACCACGUG
rnacentral:rRNA from 1 species